rnacentral:tRNA from 1 species
GAGAAGGGGAAUAGCCUGCCCUUGACUUCUAAUCAAAGGGAAAAGUACUUAGCUUAUACUUCCUUCUCG